CAGAGUUUACAAAACUCCCUAAAACCCAUUGUGAACCUACCCCUACUAGGUUGCUUCGGCGGGAUGCCGGCGCUCGGGCCCGGAUCAGGCGCCCGCCUAGGAACCACUAAACUCUUGUUUUAUUUUGGACACUGCCUCUCUGAGUAGUUCUUACUUAAAUAAAGUCAA
rnacentral:misc_RNA from 1 species